GACGAACGCUGGCGGCGUGCUUAACACAUGCAAGUCGAACGGAAAGGCCCUGCUUUGGUGGGGUGCUCGAGUGGCGAACGGGUGAGUAACACGUGAGUAACCUGCCCUUGACUUUGGGAUAACUUCAGGAAACUGGGGCUAAUACCGGAUAGGAGCUCCUGCUGCAUGGUGGGGGUUGGAAAGUUUCGGCGGUUGGGGAUGGACUCGCGGCUUAUCAGCUUGUUGGUGGGGUAGUGGCUUACCAAGGCUUUGACGGGUAGCCGGCCUGAGAGGGUGACCGGCCACAUUGGGACUGAGAUACGGCCCAGACUCCUACGGGAGGCAGCAGUGGGGAAUAUUGCCCAAUGGGCGGAAGCCUGAUGCAGCAACGCCGCGUGCGGGAUGACGGCCUUCGGGUUGUAAACCGCUUUCGCCUGUGACGAAGCGUGAGUGACGGUAAUGGGUAAAGAAGCACCGGCUAACUACGUG
rnacentral:rRNA from 1 species